UUUAAGGGAGACCUCCCGAAAGAGAGAAGGCGGAAGAGAGAAGAGAGAAGCCGGAGAGAGAGURUCUGUUUGUUGCUUUAUCUUUUCUUUUACCUUAGUUGUUUAUGCUUCCUCUUUUGGUCAUCCCAAGGUCGUUCGAGGUAUGAGUGUUUGAGCUUUCAAACUAUUACAGGUUCGGUUAUGGGCUAUUAGCUCAGGUGGUUAGAGCGCACCCCUGAUAAGGGUGAGGUCCCUGGUUCGAGUCCAGGAUGGCCCACCUUAGCGAAGGAUAGAAGAGAAAAGACGGAAGGGGAAAGAGAAUGCAUCUGCCCUCCAUCUUCAAUCUUUCACCUGGGGGUUUAGCUCAGUUGGUAGAGCGCCUGCUUUGCAARCAGGAUGUCAGCGGUUCGAGUCCGCUAACCUCCACUGRGAGUUGAUAGUCAACAAAGGCAUGAGGUAGAUUCAGCAACUUAUCUAGUUGACUAGAGAGCCUGCUGGAUUAAUCCAGCCAGAACCAUGAAAACUGCAUAGCGAAAGAAGAUUUCUGUCAGGUAGUAGAGAUUCAUUCAACCUCAGUUGGAUGAAUUGUCAACACAGACACCAAUGAAUUUU
rnacentral:tRNA from 1 species